rnacentral:lncRNA from 1 species
AAAAAAAAAAAAAAAAAUGAGUAAAGAUAAAAUAGAUAAUUGUAAUUUAAGUGAUUAUGAAAAUGAUGAUAAUAAUGAAACAGACAGUAGUAAUUUAGAAGAUUUACCUGAAUAUGAAAGAGAGUUGAUUUUAGCAAAGCGUCACGAACAAUAUGUGAAACAAAAACAUAGAAGAAUAUUAUUAAAAAGUAGAACUUUUGAUAAUGGAAAUAAUGACUUAGCACUAAGUGAUGUGAGCGAAGAAGGUUUAUAUAUGAAUAAACAGAUUGGCAAAAUUGGUAGUAAUGAUAGUAAUAAUAUUAAUACUGAAUUAGGAAAGAGGUCUAGUAAUAAAAUUACAGCCACAAGCAACAAAAAGGUAGUACAAAAAAAACAAACUUAUAAAAAGAAAAAUAAUAUUGACAUAAUAAAUGCUGCUUCCACUACUACUGUCACCGCUACUACUACUAAUAACAAUCAUGAUGAAAAAAAUGAAAUGCAAAACAUAAACUUAACUAUUAAAAAAAAACCAAGCAAAGCUACUACGACAAGGAUUAGUAAGUUGGAUCAGGUUAAUAAUAAAGAUGAAAAAAAAAAUGACAAAGAAGAUUUAAAAGUACAAAAAAAAGAGUCCUUUGCUGAAUUUGCAGAAGAUACAUCAGAAAAAAAUGACAAAUUGUUUGAUAGUGAUAGUACAAAACAAAAAAAAAUACAAAUAAGUAAAACUAAGGACAAAAUAGAACAUCCAAAUAUUUAUACAAAUAAAAAUCAUUAUGAUCGUCCAUAUAAUAUAUCAUCAGUUUCUGAUUCAUUUUCGAAUUCAACACAAUAUAAAAAAAAAAUAAAUAAAAAUAAUAUAAAUGGAGACACGAUUAUUAAGGAAGCAAAAAAAGUAAAAAAAGCAAAUGAACGAUAUUACGAUCAUAAUUACGAACACAAACAUGAAGAGGAAGAGGAAGAGGAAGAGGAAGAUGGAGGUGAAGAUGAAAAUGAAGAUGAAGACGAAAAAACCAAAAAAAGAUUAACAAACAAACAACAAUAUAGUAAUCAAUUUAGUAGAAACGAAAAAAGAGAUGAUUCGAGUAACAAAACAGAAAUAGAAAAUUUAAAAAAAAAUAAAAAAUAUUAUAAAAAUGAAAUUAACAAUGAUAUUCAUAGUAAUAAUAAUAAUAAUAAUAAUAAUAAUAGCAAUACUAAACAUGUCGAACACAAUGUCGAUGACCCUUAUUCUACACAAACCAGAAAUGAUUUAAAAUCUUAUUACAGUUUCCCAUAUAAUGAUAAAGCAUCACGAACAGCAUCCAACGAUUAUUCUAGUUUACAUAAAUCAAAU